UACCACUUGGAAACAGGUGCUAAUACCGGAUAAGAAAGCGGAUCGCACGAUCAGCUUUAAAAGGCGGCGUAAGCUGUCGCUAUGGGAUGGCCCCGCGGUGCAUUAGCUAGUUGGUAAGGUAAAGGCUUACCAAGGCGAUGAUGCAUAGCCGAGUUGAGAGACUGAUCGGCCACAUUGGGACUGAGACACGGCCCAAACUCCUACGGGAGGCAGCAGGC
rnacentral:rRNA from 1 species